UAGUUUGUGUUUUUUCAUAACCAAGUAGCCUGUGAAUUAUUGUAUUCGUUAGAAUUAUUGUAGCAAGUAUCAUAAUUCAUAAGUCGGUCGGAAGUUGAGAAAGAUGCCUCGCACCCGAAUUGUGACGCGUCAGGCGAAGCGCGAGAAAGCGGACCAAGAGGAGAAGGUACGCCUAACUCAAAUCAAGAUCGAUGCAGUUCUGGAGCAGGUCGAUGAGCUUGAGAUGCGCGCCAAGACUGAGGUGGAGACUCAAAUCAAGCUCAUCCACGCCCGGACUAACACGCAUUUAAUUGAGAUGAAAAUGUCGGAGUUUUUGAAUAUGAAGCUGAAAUAUUUCACCGACUACAAGUGGAAGGUUCCCGAGCCACCAACCAGCCGAGCACGCAGCACCGAUCGCGGACGUUCGCGUACUCCCCAGACCUCCCUUCUGCCGCGCUCACUCAUACAAUCGAUGGACAGGAGUCAUUUUAAGCGUGGAAGAACCCCACAGAAAGUGCCACCCAUGGCUUUUUUACGUUUUCCACGCGCCGGAGAGUUGGUGCUGUCCAGUGGCGGCAGCCCGCUGGCUGUUCAGACUGAUCGGCGGGAGAACUGUGCCGACGUACACAUACCCACCAAAAAGGGCGUGUUCAUGGUAAAUCCCCUUAAAAUGAAGCAAGUGAACCGUGAGGUGCUCAUGCAACUGGACUCGAAUGUACUGAACCAAGUGAAGACUUUGAAGAGUAAUCUGGAAGUAAUUGUGGACAUGGCCACCAAAAUGGGCAAGAUGUAGUAUACGCCCUGGACCGCGACUUUGGACGACCUUACAACCCGACAAAGAUGUAUGUACAAAAUGGAUAAUUCAUAUGGAACAAAUGGCAAACUUAAGUUUGCUUGCUACACUCGACUUUGAUCUUCCCACGAACUACGCUUAAUCCAACCCAAUCAACCAAUCCUCCAAUCAACAAUGCCUUCUGCUUCUCCAUCCCAACUAACUUUUUUCGUUUCAUUUUGUAUCCUCUACAGAAUGAUGAAUAAAUAAUAUUAAAACCAA